rnacentral:snRNA from 1 species
AUCGCUUCUCGGCCUUUUGGCUAAGAUCAAGUGUAGUAUCUGUUCUUAUCAGUUUAAAAUAAAAUGUUGAAAAAAUUUAAAAAUCUGCUUAACAAAGCUAAAAGCAAAGCCCUC